AUGGCUUCAUCCGGUUCCAUGACGAGGCCACCGUGUGCUCACCAAGAAGACAUGCCACACAAGUGGAAGGACGCAUCUUUGGACAAGGUGACAGAGAAAGAUGUGAAGAUUCCGCCAUGUUGGUGUGGAGAUGUUUGCAAGGUGAGGGAGUCCACCGACCGAAAGAAGUCAUGGAUCGAAGGAAAGAGAUAUUUUGUUUGCCACAAUUAUGCUUAUGAUCGUGCGCUUCCAACUAACGCCUAUGACCUUCCACCGGUAUGCUAG
rnacentral:rRNA from 1 species